rnacentral:rRNA from 1 species
UACAGAGGUGGCAAGCGUUGUUCGGAAUUACUGGGCGUAAAGGGCGCGUAGGCGGUCCGAUAAGUCCUGUGUGAAAUCCCUCGGCUCAACUGAGGAACUGCACGGGAGACUGUCGGGCUUGAGUUCGGGAGAGGGAAGCGGAAUUCCUGGUGUAGCGGUGAAAUGCGCAGAUAUCAGGAGGAACACCGGUGGCGAAGGCGGGUCUCUGGGCCGGAACUGACGCUGAGGAGCGAAAGCGUGGGGAGCGAACAGG